CAUGUAUAUUUAUAGUCACACAUGUAUAUUUAUUGUCACACAUGUAUAUUUAUUGUCACACAUGUAUAUUUAUUGUCACAUAUGUAUAUUUAUUGUCACACAUGUAUAUUUAUUGUCACACGCUCUUCACCAUCUUAACUGAGGCUGUAUAGUCAGUUUAUUAGAACAAAGACGAUUACUACUCAAUCUUAACUCUCCUGAGCAAGAAGACUUCUAAAUCAUUUUUGUUAAUGAAAGCUAUUUACUAUAGUGGUAGAAUAGCAAUGCUGGUGGUGUAUAGGCUAGUUAUCCCAUACAGUCAGCCUUGAUCUUUCUUCUUGACAGUUUACCUUGUAUGUAUGAGAUUUUUUGGCUGUUGGAGUACAUGAGACAUUGUGCUUUUUACAGACCUGGGCCUCAUGCAAGGCCUCAUGCAAGGCAUGGAAACAUACUGAAGAGCUUCAUUUGUUAGUGGCCGGUGGUAAGUAAAGCUUAUUUUCGCAAGAAGUAUUUCAACUUUUUUAAAUAAACGGGAUUUAUCAAAAUCCUGGGACGGAAUGUUUAAAUAUACACACAAUAACUUGUCUAACUUACAUGUCAUCAUAGUUGAGUAUUUCCCUUGCAAAUGUGAACUGCAAGUUUUAAUUUUGUAUUUCGGGCCUUGGCUGUCAGAUAUAAUGAAUAUUAUGUGUGGUGCAAUCAGUUUUAUGUAAACUGUUGUAGUAGGAUAAGAGGAAAGCGCUUAUAGCCGUGGUGUAAAACACACGGCCGGGAUGGGUUCCAAUCCGGCUCGUGUGUGGUUUGAGUAUUUUUAAUAAAAAAAUAUUUUAUGGGAGGUGUUAUGGACACAAUAUACUUUAAAAUGACUAAAACCAAAUCAAAACUGGAGAAAUUAUAAUGGUUCUACAUUCAUGCAGUUUCUGUGUUCAGCUCACUAAUAAUAAACUAAAUAAAACUAGAUAGUAAAGGAGCACUGAAAAUAUAACCGAAUGCGGCCCCCGGGUAAAAUUAGUUUUAUACCCCUGGGUUAUAGUGUCAAUGUGAAAUCUUAUUUGCCAAGAACAGGAAAAAUCAAAUAGGUGUAGGGGGAGCAACGGCUGCCUCAGUUGGUAUUAGACACACACAGUGAGAUCCAUGCAUCACUCCCAAUUUGGUUAUUGAAGUCUCUUAACAGUGGGUAGUCAGUCGGGUUGAUUCUUCCUGACUGAAAACUAUCAGCUGCAUCACUGUUACCUAAUUGGUAACCAGGCCCAUUUGAAAUACAUUUCAUUCCUCUCCUCUCGUUUUGAGAGGUUCAUUGUCUUUAUGUCCUCAAGUCAAUGGAGACAGCAUGGGAUAGUCACCCACACAAGAGCACUCAUGGCCUCAUUCCUCAGCUCCGCUAUAGCCAGGGUGGUUUCCUCUUGGUAACGGUCCUAAGCCACAUCUCAUCUCGGUAACGGUCCUAAGCCACAUCUGAUCUUGGUAACGGUCCUAAGCCACAUCUGAUCUUGGUAACGGUCCUAAGCCAGAUCUCAUCUCGGUAACGGUCCUAAGCCAGAUUUUUGUUACGUUACAGCCUUAUUCUACAAUGGAUUAAAUAAAAACAAUUCCUCAUCAAUCUACACACAAUACCCCAUAAUGACAAACAAAAAUGUUUUUUAUUUUAUUUAUAAAAAAAAUAGGUUGUUUACAUAAGUAUUCAGACCUUUUGCUACAAGACUCAAAAUUGAGCUCAGGUGGAUCCUGUUUCCAUUGAUCAUCCUUGAUGUUUCUACAACUUGAUUGUAGUCCAUCUGUGGUAAAUUCAAUUGAUUGGACAUGUAUUGGAAAGGCACACACCUGUCCAUAUAAGGUCCCCCAGUUGACAGUGCAUGUCAGAACAAAAACCAAGCCAUGAGGUUGAAGGAAUUGUCUGUAGAGCCCCGAGACAGGAUUGUGUCGAGGCACAGAUCUGGGGAAGGAUACAAAAAAAUGUCUUCAGCAUUGAAGGUCCCUAAGAACAUAGUGGCCUCCAUCAUUCUUAAAUGGAAGAAGUUUGGAACCACCAAGACUUUACCUAGAGCUGGCCGCCCUGCCAAGCUGAGCAAUCAGGGAGAAAGGCCUUGGUCAGGGAGGUGACCAAGAACCUAAUGGUCAGUCUGAUAGAGCUCAAGAAUUCCUCCGUGGAGAACCUUCCAGAAGGACAACCAUCUCUGCGGCACUCCACCAAUCAGGCCUUUUAUAGUAGAGUGGCCAGACGGAAGCCAUUCCUCAGUAAAAAGCACAUGACAGCCUGCUUGGCACCUAAAGGACUCUCAGACCAUGAGAAACAAGAUUCUCUGGUCUGAUGAAACUAAGAUUGAACUCUUUGGCCUGAAUGCCAAGCGUCAAGUCUGGAGGAAACCUGACACCAUCCCUACGUUGAAUCAUGGAGGUGGCUGCAUCAUGCUGUGGGGAUGUUUUUCAACGGCCGGGCCUGGGAGACUAGUCAGGAUCGAGGGAAAGAUGAACGGAGCAAAGUACAGAGAGAUCGUUGAUGAAAACCUGCUCCAGAGCGCUCAGGACCUCAGACUGGGGAGAAGGUUCACCUUCCAACAGGAACACGACCCGAAGCACCCAUCCAAGACAAUGCAGGAGUGGCUUCGGGACAAGUCUCUGAAUGUCCUUGAGUGGCCCAACCAGAGACCGGAGUUGAACCCAAUCGAACAUCUCUGGAGAGACCUGAAAAUAGCUGUGCAGUGACGCUCCCUAUCCAACCUGACCGAGCUUGAGAGGAUCUGCAGAGAAAAAUGGGAGAUACAGCCCAAAUGUAGGUGUGCCAAACUUGUAGCAUCAUACCCAAGAAGACUCAAGGCUAUAAUCACUGCCAAAGAUGAUUCAACAAAGUACUGAGUAAAAGGUCUGAAUAAAUAUGUUAAUGUUAAAUAUCUAAACACUUGUUUUUGCUUUGUCGUUAUGGAGUAUUGUGUGGGGAUUGAGGGGAAAAAACUAUUUUAUCAUAACGUGGAAAAGGUCAAGGGGUCUGAAUGCUUUACAAAUGCACUGUAUGUUUUUCCAGCAGCAUACUAUGAUUGAUAUUGUCAAAAGCUUCACUGAAGUCUAACAAAACCACUCCCACAAUUUUUUUAAUUAUCAUUUUCUCUCACCCAAUCAGUCAUUUGUGUAAGUGCCAUCCGUACAUGUUGAAUGUCCUUCCCUAUAAGCCUGCUGAAAAUCUGUUAAUUUAUUUACUGUAAAAUAGCAUUGUAUCUGGUCAAAAACUAUUUUUUCCAAAAGUUUACUAAGUGUUGGUAACAGGCUGAUUGGUCGGCUAUUUGAGCAAGUGAAGGGUGAUGUACUAUUCUUGGGUAGCGGAAUUACUUUUGCUUCCCUCCAGGCCUGAAGGAGCACACAUCUUUGUAAACUUAGAUUGAAGAGAUGGCAAAUAGGAGUGGCAAUAUCGUCCGCUAUCAUCCUCAGUAAUUUUCCAUCUAAGUUGUCAGACAAUACUUUUUUCACCUCUUCAACAGUCACAAAAUUACAAUGCUUGUCUUUCAUAAUUUGAUCAUUUAAGCUUGGAUGUGUAGGUUUGGCAUUUGUUCCUGGCAUGUCAUGCCUAACUUUGCUAAUCUUGCUAAUGAAAAAAUAAUUAAAGUAGUUGGCAAUAUCAGUGGGUUUUGUGAUGAAUGAGCCAUCAGAUUUAAUGAAUGAUGGAGCUGAGUUUGCCCUUUUGCCCAAAAUUUCAUUUAAGGUGCUCUAAAGCUUUUUGCUGUCAUUCUUUGUUUCAUAGUGUAGUUUCUUCUUUUUAUUCAGUUUAGUGACAUGAUUUAUCAAUUUGCAGAACGUUUGCCAAUCGGUUAUACAGCCAGACUGUCAAGACCCGGGUCUCCAGUGUGAGAAACAGUCACUUAGCAAACUGAGCCACUAAUAGUCAGCAGAACCCAGAAGAUGAGGCAGACACAGCAGUACUUGAGAUGGUGUUUUAAUAAAGUAAAAAGGAAAGUUCUUCAGGCAAAAAUAUAAAUCCACAACGUCAAAGGUAAUUCCAAGAGAACAAAGGUAAUCUUCCAAGUCAAAAGGUAAAGGCCUCAAAAGAUAAUCAAAAAUAAAUAAACGAGAACAAAAACAGAGUACCACAAGCGAGUCCAACUGGCGCAACAAACGUUCACAGCAUCGCUGGGGCUGGGUGCUAACAUUCAAACUCAGAGCAAAGAACUGAGGAAAACUAAGGGUUUAAAUACAAUCAAGGGAAAUGAGGCACAGGUGCAAAUAAUAACUGGGAACAAGGGAAAACAAAAGGGUCAAAAAGCACAAUGGGGGCUUCUAGUGACCAAAAUCCGGAACAACCCUGGCCAAAUCCUAACACAAACUUUGUUGCCGUUCCUUUUGCCUCAUCCCUUUCAACCAUAACAUAUUUUUCAAUUCCUCAUCAAUUCACCGGGAUUACAUUUUUUUACAGUCAUUUUCUUAAUGGGUGCAUUCUUAUUAGUAACUGGAGAAAGCAGUUUAAUAAAUGUGUCAAGUGCAGUGUCUGGUUGCUCAUCAUUACACACCACAGACCAGCAAAUAUUCUUUACAUGAUCAACAUAGGAAUCACUACAAAACCUCUUGUAGGACCUCUUAUACACAAUAUUAAGUCCAGCCUUUGGAACUUUGGUUUUCCUAGAUAUGGUAAUAUUGUGAUCACUAUAGCCGUUGGAUUUGGAUACUGCUUUACAGCAGAUUUCUCUAUCAUUAGUAAAGAUGUGGAUGAUUUCAUUCUCUAUAGCCAGGGUGUUUUUCUCUUGGUAGAGGUCCUAAGUCAGAUCCAGUCAACUGGCUUUUAAUCAGUGUGAAUUCAUGGGAGCUAGUACCAGAGAUAAUGGUAAUGGCUGAUAGCAAUUCUGUCUGCUGUUGAAAGCAAUCAUUUUGUCAUUCACUCAUCUGUGGUAGAUGAGAGCUAAGAUCCUGUGUUGUCUGCCCUUCUUCCUGUGAGGGCAACUGGGCCGAAAGGAAGUCAUUUCACCUUGAGUCAUCGCUGUUUCUACCUGACCAGAGUGAGCGGUGAAAGUAAGGCUGAGUUCGUCUUCGCCUCGUUGACCGAAGACGAGGGUCCUUAUAAAGAGCUCCUGAAUACACCAGAGGAUAGUAUAAUAGAACAGUAUUUGUGUUUUAUAUGACCUAUAAACACAGCCAGGGGGACCACUGCUCCAUUACUCACUCUCCAGAGAGCUGAAAGAACAGGAGACGGACAUGAAGACUAGACAGAUACGGGCGGCUGACAUUCUGGGUCCUGAUGGAUUGCUCUCUAUGGAUCACAGCACCCCUGGCUUUGGGUGAGAUAAGCUUAAUCAGCCACAGGUCGGACCUGGCUACAGCCCAGAUACUUCUCCACCUCUGUAUCUCUGUCUCCAAGCAUUCUAUAGCUCGUAUGUUCCAUGCCUAACAAAAGUCCUGCCAGCCAAUUAGUCACAGCAAAGCAGUACCUAGGCAAGGGUUUGGGACCGCACUGAUAACCAUGGCAUUUCUCAUUAAUGUGCAUCCUGAUAUUUGAGGGUCAAUGUGUAACGGCCAGUCUUUCGGGAUAAUUACAUUUUACUUAUGUAAAAGACAUUUCUUUUCACGUGAGUGAGCAUGAACGAUGGCUCAAAUGAUGUGUUCAGUGAAUAUAUUAAGGUACCUUCUUAAACAAGAUAAAUGUUAAGCCGUACACUCUAUCAGAGAUUUGACACAUUUAUUUUAAUUAAUGUCUACCUCUAACAAGGAACAGUAUUAUGACUUGGUAAUUCAAUACAGUUUAGGUGAAUGUCAAAUCCUCUGAAGGAAUAAUUAAAUCUAUAAUAUGAUUUAAAGAGUACAGUAAUGUGGAUAUACUACUACAAUCCUCCCAUUUCAUUUAUGGUAUGACUUGAACAUAAAUGUAAGGUUCUGAUAUACUGUAAGGAAAUAUACAUCUGCAUUACCGUAUGUGCAGGCUAAGGUUCAGGUCUACUACUGUAUUCAGGCAGUUAUUAUGGUUCAGCUCCAUGGGAACCGGUGCAGUAUGGGAGACUUACAUAAUCUGUUUGAAAGAUUACUUGAUUUCUUUCUGCUAAUUUCUUUGUGCUAAAUGGCUUUGCAUUGGUCUGAAAUACAGAUAUGUGCCUUUAGUUAUGCUUGAACCCUGUCCCUGUGUAACUCUUUGAUUUCUCCACCUUCCCGCACUUCAUAUGUCACUCCAAUGCUAAUUCUCUGUAUACUGCACAGUACAAACUGUUCACACUGCACUAUAAUACUUUUUAUGGGGAAUUAUGCAUUAUAGUUUGUCCUGUGUAAUCCUCUGUUUAAUCAUGAAUGUCUGAAUUAACGUGAUCAGAAGAUGAAUUGAUAGUUUCAGUCAGUGGCUGUCGUGAUAUUUAAGAUGAGGGAGCGUAUAUAUAUAUUUAUUUUUAUUUUUUUAAUGAGCAUGGUCUUAUUUCUAUUACAGCAUAUUGGAUAACUGUCAUUCAUAUUCCAUUCACCCAGCUCAAGAUAACAUCGAUAGGUUUAGGCUACUACAUGAUGCUCAAAUUUACCCUAUACCUAUCAUAAGGCUGUGACAAUCUAGCCUAUGAAUGAAAGUUUACAACGUAGGUGCACACAGGUCGAGAGAAAAAUUUGAGUAAUUAAGGUGACAGAUAGCGACACAUUCAAUACCACCUUGCCUGCAGCUAGCUGAUAUAGGGUGUAAUCAUUAGACCAAUAGUUACAAAUGAGAGUUUUUAUUGGACAAAUUCAGGUAUGUUUAUCCCUGUUUCGUUCCGUUUGCUUCCGUUUUAAGAAAUGUUUUUCAACAUAAUCGGAGGAAUGAAUACACCCCUGAUCACAAGUAAACACAGUUCACAAUCAUAGCAGCCACAUACAAACGGCAUGAUAAUUUUGCUCGUUUUAGAAUUCCUUCUCGCAUGUACUGGCUCUCCGUCCUCUCACCUUUUCCCUUUUGCUUGGGGACUUCAUUGCACAACACAUCAGGUGGUUAAAUCACAUGGAUGGUUAAAUCAAUGAGGCACUGAAAUUAACAUGUUUUUCUUAUUGAAAAUCUAUUUCCUUACUAACGGGUGUCUAGGUAGUGCAAGAUUUAGUUUUGGCUGGCACACAACCUCGUCACUGAUUUCUAUUUGUUUCCUUAAUUGAUGUUGAUUUGUAUCUGUCAUAGUCUGAUCCUAGAGGAAACAUGCACCUAAUUAUUAUCAGGAGACACAGCACUGAUGCCCAAAAUCCAAAUCUUUGAAAAAUAAUGCUUUAAAAAAAAAGCUAUAUCGUCAUUUUUCAGCAUAAUAACACAGCUCCGAUCCGAACACAGCACCAGCUCCGAUCCGAACAGCACCAGCUCUGACACAAACAUAGCUUAGAAAGUCCACACCCCCUUCAACUUUUUUCACAUUUUGUUGUCAGUACCUCAGUUUCAUGCAUUUAAAUAAGGACCCCCCCCCCCGACACACACAUACACUUAUACAUAUAUAUGUGUGUGAGUCUGUUGGGAUAGCUCACUACCAACUUUGCACACUUAAAUUUGGAAAUAUUUGAACAUUCCUCUUUACAAACUGUUCAAGCUCUGUCAAGUUCCUUGGGGAUCGAUGUGGACAGCAAUCUUCAAGUCAUGCCACAAAGUUUUGAUUGGAUUUAGGUCAGGGCUCUGAAUGGGCCAUUCAAGGACAUAUACCUUUUUAUUCCUUAGUCACUACACUGUAGCUUCGGCUUGUUUGCUUUGGGUGUUGUCAUGGUGAAAGGUGAACUUCCGUUCCAGUUUCAACUUUCUUGCAGAGGUCAGCAGGUUUUCCUCAAAGACUUUUCUGUACAUUGCUCCAUAAAUUGUUCCUUCUAUCCUGAUAAGUGCCAGUCCCUGAUUGCCAUAACAUGAUGCUGCUACCACAAUGCUUUACAGUAGGGAUGGUGUUCUUUGGGUGAUGUGCAGUGUUGGGUUUGCGCCAAAGGUAACGCUUUGCAUUUAGACCAACAUUUUACAUUUUAGUUUCAUCAGACAAAACUUUGACACAUGGCUACAGAAUCUCCUGAGUUUUUUUUUUGCAUACUUCAAACAGGAUUCAAGGUGGGCUUUCUUGAGUAAUGGCUUCCUUCUUGCCACCCUACCAAACAUGCUUGGGGGUGUGUAUUUAUUCCUUGUGUUAUUAUUUUUCAAAAAAAUAUAUAUGUAUAAUUCUCUCUGCAUUGUUGGGAAGGGCCCGUAAGUAAGCAUUUCACUGUUAGUCUACACCUGUUGUUUACAAAGCAUGUGACAAAUACAUUUAUUUGAUAUUGUUGUCACAUGACCACUUUGACCAACCAUAAAACCCUGUAGUUCUUUUAAAGUUGCCAUUUUGCUCUCGGUAGCCUCUCUGAUUAGUCUUCUACUUGCUCGGUCAUUCAGUUUGGAGGGAUAAAGGCAAGGUAUACACUGUCCAGCUCCUUGGUGCUCAUGGUUGAGUGUUUGCAUUGCAAUUCACUACCCAGCAGAGGGAACCUACAGCAACUGCUGAAUUUAUCCUGAAAUCAAGUGAAUAACUACAAUUUAACACCGGUGGAGGCCAAUUAACUUGGUGUGUAAUUUUGAAGGUGAUUGGUUACACCUGAGCUAAAUUAGGAUUGUGAUUACACUGAUCCAAACAAGCUUUUUUUUUUUUUUUUAAAUCUUCAAAUUAUAUAUAUUUUUUUAUUAUUUAUUUUUUUUACCUCGAAGUUGUGGGGUAGGAUGUGUUGAUCAAUAAAGGGAAAAAAAACUAUUUUAAUUCCAGGCUACAGUAUACAGUGCAUUCAGAAAGUAUUCAGACCCCUUGACUUUUUCCACAUUUUGUUAUGUUAGUCUUAUUCGAAAAUUGAUUAAAUAAACAAAUGUCCUCGUCAAUCUACACACAAUACCCAAUAAUGACAAAAUGAAAACAGGUUUUUAGAAAUGUUUGCAAAUUUAUAACAAAUAAAAAACAGAAAUACCUUACAUUCAGACCCUUUGCUACAAGACUCAAAAUUGAGCUCAGGCGCAUCCUGUUUCCAAUGAUCAUCCUUGAGAUGGUUCUACAACUUCAUUGGAGUCCAUUGGUGGAAAAUUCAAUUGAUUAGACAUGAUUCGGAAAGGCACACACCUGUCUACAUAAGGUCCCACAGUUGACAGUGCAUGUCAGAGCAAAAACCAAGCCAGGAGGUCGAACGAAUUGGGAAAGAUCUAGGUAAGGUACCAAAAAUGUUAUGCAGCAUUGAAGGUCCCAAAGAACACAGUGGCCUCCAUCAUUCUAAAAUGGAAGAAGUUUGGAACCACCAAGACUCUUCCUAGAGCUGGCCGCCUAGCAAAACUGAACAAUCGGGGUAGAAAGGCCUUGGUCAGGUAGGUGACCAAGAACCCGAUGCCCACUCUGACAGUGCUCCAAAGUUCCUCUGUGGAGAUGGUUGUCAUUAUGGAAGGUUCUCCCAUCUCUGCAGCACUCCACCAAUCAGGCCUUUAUGGUAGAGUGACCAGACGGAAGCCUUGUCACUCUACCAUAGCCUGGCCAGACAGAAGCCACUCCUCAGUAAAAGGCACGACAGCCCGCUUGGAGUUUGCCAAAAGGCACUUAAAGGAUUCUCAGACCAAGAGAAACAAGAUUCUCUGGUCUGAUGAAACCAAGAUUGAACUCUUUGGCCUAAAUGCCAACCGUCACGUCUGGAGGAAAUCUGGUACCAUCUCUACAGUGAAGCAUGGUGCUGUUGGCAGCAUCAUGCAGUGGGAUGUUUUUCAGUGGCAGGGACUGGGGGACUAGUCAGAAUCGAGGGAAAGAUGAACGGAGCAAAGUACAGAGAGAUCCUUGAUGAAAAACUGCUUCAGAGCGCUCAGGACCUGUCACACACUGAUCUGUUUCACCUGUCUUUGUGCUCGUCUCCAUCACCUCCAGGUGUCACCCAUCUUCCCCAUUAUCCCCUGUGUAUUUAACAUUGUGUUUUCUGUCUGUCUGUGCCAGUUAGUCUUGUAUGUUCCAAGUCAACCAGCAUGUUUUUCCGUUGCUCCUGCCUUUUCUAUUCUCUUUUGCAAGUCCUCCCGGUUUUGACCCUUGGCUGUUUUCUGGACUCUGUACCCACCUGCUUGACCUUUCUGCCUGCCCUGACCUUGAGCCUGCCUUCCACACUGUACCUCUUGGACUCUGAACUGGUUUUGACCUUUUGCCUGUCCACAACCAUUCCCUUGCCUACCCCUUUUGGAUUAUUAAUAAAUAUCAAAGACUAAAACCAUCUGCCUCCCGUGUCUGCAUCUGGGUCUUGCCUUGUGCCCUUAUAGGACCUCAGACUGGGGCGAAGUUUCACCUUUCAACAGGACAAUGACCCUAAGCACACAGCCAAGACAAAGCAGGAGUGGCUUCGGGACAAGUCUUUGAAUGUCCUUGAGUGGCCCAGCCAGAGCCCGGACUUGAACCCGAUCGAACAUCUCUGGAGAGACCUAAAAAUACCUGUGCAGCAACGCUCACCAUCCAACCUGACAGUGCUUGAGAGGAUCUGAAGAGAAAAAUGGGAGAAACUUCCCAAAUACAGGUGUGACAAGCUUGUAGUGUCAGACCCAAGAAGACUUGAGGCUGUAAUCGCUGUUAAACAUGCUUCAACAAAGUACUGAGUAAAGGGUCUAAAUGUGAUAUUUAACUAUUUUUUUAUGUCUAAAAACCUGUUUUUGCUUUUUCAUUAUGAGGUAUUGUCUGUAUAUUGAUGAGGGGGGAAACAAUUUAAUCCAUUUUAGAAUAAGGUGUUAACGUAACUAAAAUGUGGAAAAAGUCAAGGGGUCUGACUACUUUCUGAAUGCACUCUAAGGCUACAAAAGGUGGACUUUUUGAAUGGAUGGUGUAGACUUUCUAUAGGCACUAUAUUUGAAAAGGUUGCUGAUGUGACAGUCUCUUCAGUGUAUUCCAGAAGUUUUGAAUUGUAAAAAUGCAAUACAUACUUGGGAGGAGCAUGGUUUAGGAUCCACAGCUUAAUGUACUGUACUCACCUUAUUGGAUGUGAUCAAUGUGUCUUGGCAAUGUAAGUAUAGUAGAUAGAACCUACUGGUGUUGUGUGGAACCCAUGAGGAAUUGUUUGCAUGAUAACUCCCACAUUCCAUCUGUAUUCUCAGAGUGAGAAUGUCCUAAUGGCUGCUGUACAAACUGAAGUGGUGACUGAAUAGUUUUUUACACCGCCUGAAUCUAAAAUGAAGAAUUUCCACAUAGCGUGUCUUCUUGAACAGAUGCUUAGAACAUUAUUUCAACUUGGAAGAUUUACUGUAAUAGGAGUGCUGCAUCAUGAAUCCCAGUCAGAUAUAAGAAACCAAGAUGGUUCGAUCUCUUCCAGGUAAAUUACUGUAUGGAAAGCGGGUAUGUCAAUACAGACAUGGUAAAGCUUUUUGAAUGAUAUCCUCUGGUUUUUUUUGUGAAACAACACUUUUGCUAUACAGUUGCUCUAAAGGGAACAUUUUAGGUGCUUAUAUCCAUUAAAGCAGGUGUAACCGAAGGACGAUAUUUGUCGGGGGUCCGGAACAUAAUUGUAAUAAUUUGUACACUGCAAAUAGACCACCAAAAAAUGUGAUUGCAUUUGAAAGUAACAAUAAUGUUAUACUUUGAUUACAUUGUGUCACACCCUGACCAUAGUUUGCAUUGUAUGUUUCUAUGUUUUGUUUGGUCAGGGUGUGAUCUGAGUGGGCAUUCUAUGUUACAUGUCUAGUUUGUCUAUUUCUAUGUUUGGCCUGAUAUGGUUCUCAAUCAGAGGCAGGUGUUAGUCAUUGUCUCUGAUUGGGAACCAUAUUUAGGUAGCCUGUUUGGUGUUGGGUUUUGUGGGUGAUUGUUCCUGUCUCUGUGUUUGCACCAGAUAGGGCUGUUUUGGGUUUUCACAGUUCUUGUUUUGUUAGUUUGUUCAUGUGUAGUUGCUUUAUUAAAGAACCAUGAAUAGGAA